UGGGGAAUAUUGCACAAUGGGCGCAAGCCUGAUGCAGCGACGCCGCGUGCGGGAUGACGGCCUUCGGGUUGUAAACCGCUUUUGACUGGGAGCAAGCCCUUCGGGGUGAGUGUACCUUUCGAAUAAGCACCGGCUAACUACGUGCCAGCAGCCGCGGUAAUACGUAGGGUGCAAGCGUUAUCCGGAAUUAUUGGGCGUAAAGGGCUCGUAGGCGGUUCGUCGCGUCCGGUGUGAAAGUCCAUCGCUUAACGGUGGAUCCGCGCCGGGUACGGGCGGGCUUGAGUGCGGUAGGGGAGACUGGAAUUCCCGGUGUAACGGUGGAAUGUGUAGAUAUCGGGAAGAACACCAAUGGCGAAGGCAGGUCUCUGGGCCGUCACUGACGCUGAGGAGCGAAAGCGUGGGGAGCGAACA
rnacentral:rRNA from 2 species